CAGUUUUUUAUUAAAAUCAUAAGCCUUUAGUGCAGCAGAGAGCCGGGGAUCCAGGAAAGCUGUUCCGAUAGACCCAGCCCUGGGGAAUAAAAGAGGCUGAUGCACGACCUCCUCCAGCACGAGGGAUCGCAAAGGGAAACAAGCCCCAUCUCCCUUUCAUCCAAGAAUCUCUGAGAAGGUAUCCGGGAUCUGGAGGUUCUCAGUGUCUCGGCUGAAGCGGGAGACAGUGGUGUCCCGUAAAUCCUGAGUGAGAGACAGCUCUGCCAGCCCGACCUACGGCAACAGCAGAAGGGGAGGUGAAUUUUAGAGUUAAUGGUCAAACAUCUAAGUAAGAAAUUGUGGACGUUGGAUUAGAAUUUCACUAAAUGUAAACAUUAAUAUGUGGGAGAAGUGACAAUUGCACGUUGUUGAAAAUUCCCAUCCUAGAACAAAAGCCUGAAGAAAUAUGGAUCAUUGUCCCCAGUCUACGCGGCAGGAAACUGGAAACUCUCAAAGAUGAGCUAUUCAAGCUUAGAGAGAAACCGCUUUCAAGUGGCAGAACCUGGAUUAAAAUUCAGCUCUCCUGCAUUAAAAUCUAGGUCUGCUGGCCCCGAGCUCUCCCUCUCUUUCAUCCCACAGCAUCCCCUAUAUAAUAAACAAUUGAAAAGGUAAAAAUCACGAUUUAAAUAUGCUUUCCCUCAGCAACAAAAACAAUGAAAAAAACCUAAAAAGAAUAAUCACAAUUAGGUACUAUUGACAUCAGUUUAUAAAAAUAUUUGUUUCAUGCAAAUAUUUAAUGAAAACUUGUCAUUUGUAAUAGUAAAUGAUCUAAGUGGGAAGUUUGUCUUCAUUAUUAUUAAAACAUAGUUUAAAUGACGUUAAUAAUUCUAGCAAAAGUAGAUUUAUAUUAGGCUUAUAGCAUAAAGACAAAAUACAUGCAGAUUUGCCACAUUUAAUGUAGAAUAUACCUUCUUUUGAUUUAUUUUUCAGUUCUUAGCGGUCAAGAGAAAACAAAUAUUCUUUCCUCUG